rnacentral:rRNA from 1 species
AUUGAACGCUGGCGGCAUGCCUUACACAUGCAAGUCGAACGGUAACAGGUCUUCGGAUGCUGACGAGUGGCGAACGGGUGAGUAAUACAUCGGAACGUGCCUAGUAGUGGGGGAUAACUACUCGAAAGAGUGGCUAAUACCGCAUGAGAUCUGCGGAUGAAAGCAGGGGAUCGCAAGACCUUGUGCUACUAGAGCGGCCGAUGGGAGAUUAGGUAGUUGGUGGGAUAAAAGCUUACCAAGCCGAUGAUCUGUAGCUGGUCUGAGAGGACGAUCGGCCAAGCUGGGAAUGAGACACGGCCCAGACUCCUACGGGAGGCAGCAGUGGGGAAUUGUGGACAAUGGGCGCAAGCCUGAUCCAGCAAUGCCGCGUGCAGGAUGAAGGCCUUCGGGUUGUAAACUGCUUUUGUACGGAACGAAAAGCCCCGGGUUAAUACCCUGGGGUCAUGACGGUACCGUAAGAAUAAGCACCGGCUAACUACGUGCCAGCAGCCGCUGUAA